rnacentral:SRP_RNA from 1 species
GCUUGAUGCAGUGGCGCAUGCCUGUAGUCCCAGUUACUUGGAGGCUGAGGUGGGAGGAUCGCUUGAGCCCAGGAUUUCUGGGCUUUAGUGCUCUAUGCCGAUCGGGUGUCCGCACUAAGUUUGGCAUCAAUACAGUGACCGCCCAGAAGUGGGGGACCACCUGGUUGCCUAAGGAGGGGUGAACCGGCCCAGGUCGGAAACGGAGCAGGUCAAAACUCCCGUGCUGAUCAGUAGUGGGAUUGCAGCUGUGAAUAGCCACUGCACGCCAGCCUGGGCAACAUAGCAAGACCCCAUCUCU